AUCUACAGCCAUACAUCCCUGAACAUGCCCGAUCUCCUCCCAUCUCAGAAGUUAAGCAGGGUCAGGCCUGGUUAGUACUUGGGUGGGAGACUGCCUGGGAAUACCGGGUGCUGUAGGCU
rnacentral:rRNA from 1 species